ACUCUUACACUUUUACACAAAUAAAGAAAGAUUAAGCCUUACAGACACAUAGAACCAUAGCCUACUCACUAAUUAGAGACAUUUUCAACCCAAAAAAAAUCAUUAUAUAAAUAAACGGUUCACAUUUCAUCUGCUAUCUCACAAUCAUAUCAACGGCCACAAUUCAAGGGAGUUUUUGAGCUUCUUUAGGAAAGACUUCCCUGAUGUUUGUUCAUACGUAGUUAUUGAUCAUAUCAUGUGAGUUUUGAUACUUUUUUUAAGAAAUUCAAUUGCGAUUUAUGAUUAAAUAAAUAAAUCCUAGUGUCUAAUCUUCUAGAUUAGAAAUAAGCAAACCCUUUUGUUGAAAAUUCAAAAAGGGCAUUAAAUUGAAAAUUAAGUGACAUAAAAACCUAAUGUGUGGCUUAGCAACUUAGUUUCUAUUGAUGCUUUUUUUGAACUCAAGUUGUCAAUAUUAUUUAAAAAGACACAAAGAAAAAUGUUAAGCCUAACAAACCCUAACUAGAUCAUAUUAUACUAAAUUCAUGAGCCAUUAUCAAAUUAUGCUUUAAUUUGGGGAAAUUUGGAUUGAAAAGUUACAACAAGUUUGACCGCUUUCAUUUUUAAAGUAAAAAUAAUCAAGGGGAAUGUCAUGCAGCAUAUGUCAGAGGUUUUCAAUACUUGACGUAUAAUCAGACCAUUGCAAAUGUAGAAAUGGAUUAAUUGUAUAGGCUCAGAUUUAUAUGAAAUGAUAAUCAACCAACCUUGUGACAUUAUCAAAAUAUAGAUAUUUUAAAUCAUCAUUGAUUUCAAUGAAAUUCAAUGGCUGAAAAAAUAAAAUCUCAUACUAUCUCAUUGAGUGCAACUUGUCGAGGUUGUCAAUAUUGGAUAUAAAUAUAAUUUAUACUACAAUCAUGUAGGGUGGUACAAUAUUCUAUAAUAUAUUAUUUGAUUCUCUUUUUUAUCAAUAUACUGCGAAGUUCUGAUAGAAUAUAUAUGGUUCUUUAGUGGUGAUAUGAUUGCACCCGUCUUUUUUUUUCAAUAUAUAUCGAAUGUUUGAGGUAGUUGAAACCAUUCAAUCAACAACUCCAAAAUACAUCCACUACAGAAAAACAUUAUAUGAUUGCACGAGGGAAAUUUUUAAGUUCGUGUUGACUGUACGAGGGACCAUAUCGACGCAAGUGGGAAAUUUGAGGGUUUCCUUAAAUUCCUGGCGACAAAUGAAAAUAACAGGCGGGAAAAUUAAUUGACGGCUAGGCCGCCAGCAUAUUUUUCCCGACCGUUGAGGAAAUAUGUUCUGGCGACCAGGCCGCCAGCAACUUAAAAUAAAAAAUUAGACCGGCGGCCUAGCCGCCAGUUAAUUUCUCUUAUUUACAAGAAAAUUAGACCGGCAAACUCAUGUAGUCUGCCGACGGCCAGGCCGUCAGUAGGGAGCCUCCAGAACUAUGUUGUUUUUUUGUAGUGAUCAUCUACCUAUAUUCCUUCUUUUUUCCAAUAGUCGGAGUUUGUAUAGAUCGAGAAAGGAAAGGAAAGGAAAGGAAAGGAAAGGAAAAGAAAAGGAAAAGAAAAGAGGAAUAGGAAGGAAUUUAGCCGAAGUAGAUCGAUAAUUUUGAUCUCAGCUUGGCAAACCAAUUUCUUGGUGUCUAUUUCAAACUAUAAAGUGAUUUCUUUAACUUGUUGAUGGGUGGGGGGUAUUCGUGGAUCACUCCCACUCAAGUUCUUUACUUAAAGUUCUAGCUCAAUAAAUGUCUCCCUCUGUUCAUUAAUGAAGCUAAUAUUUAUACAUAUAGUUAGACGGCUUAGUGAAUGUAGGGCGACCCUAGUUGAUGGUAUUGUUAGACGAGGUCUCUGGAUGGGCCUAGUUUGGUAAAUUUGGUAUCAUCACUUGCAUAUUAUUUUAUCAUCCUUCUCUAAUAACCCUUGUAGAGGUCAAGUUUUGAAGGAAGACAUUUUGCACGUCAACUUGAUCUAAUUCUCAUCGCUUCACAGACACACUGAUGGCCACUUGAUAUUUUUCUACUAAGAUGAUUUGGGAGUUGGGUUCUUUUGUAGAAUGAACCAAAGCUCAAAGGAGGAAGAUGGAUGAUAUAAGUUUUCAACAAUUGUUGGAAAUAAAUCAAAUGAGCACAUUUAUAGCUUUUGGGGGUUCUUUUCCUAAAUGAAAGGAAAUUCAAACUUGAUUACAUGAUUGAACUUGAUGAUCACUUCUCCAAAAUAAAAAUAAAGUAAUAUAAUUCAUCAAUUGACACUUAUUAUUUCAAUAAAUAUAAAAUAAACAAGAUUCCAAAAAAUUAUAGUCGGCAAUCUAGAUCGAACAUACGCGCACACAAAUCCAUUUCUCUAGAAAAACUCAGAUAUGAAUAAUAUGGAAUCAAGACUCAUCAUUAUCAAGAUUACCUUCACAGGGAUUCUCACUUGUUUCAAUAUCGAUCUUACAAACUUCAAAGAUCGAAAUCACAUUGGAAUCAGUCAAGUUGAUCUUUUGGAAGACUUCACAAAGGCAAGAUUUAUUACCUGAGUAGAGAUGAUUCAUCUUAUCGCAACAUUUAUCCAGACCAACACUGUUAUUUACAUCGAUGCAAGCAUCAGACAAAGUCUUUACACAAGUAAGAUCUCCAUGAACCGUCAAUACCAUCCAGACUGUUAUGGCUAUCAUCGCCAUAAAUGUAAUUGUCUUCUUCUCCAUCUUCAAAUCUCUUUCACACCAACUAGAUAGCUAGAUAAGAGUUAAGUACUCUUGUGUGACCAACUCAAUUAUAUGUCUUCUU
rnacentral:lncRNA from 1 species